GGGGAUAUAGCUUGGUUAGUAGAGUGCUUGUCUCAAAUGCACAAGGCCCUGGGUUAAGUUCCUAGUACCACCA
rnacentral:tRNA from 1 species